UACGAAGGGGGCUAGCGUUGCUCGGAAUUACUGGGCGUAAAGCGCACGUAGGCGGCUUUCUAAGUCGGGGGUGAAAUCCUGGAGCUCAACUCCAGAACUGCCUUCGAUACUGGAGAGCUUGAGUCCGGGAGAGGUGAGUGGAACUGCGAGUGUAGAGGUGAAAUUCGUAGAUAUUCGCAAGAACACCAGUGGCGAAGGCGGCUCACUGGCCCGGUACUGACGCUGAGGUGCGAAAGCGUGGGGAGCAACAGGGA
rnacentral:rRNA from 1 species